rnacentral:lncRNA from 1 species
AUACAAAUUUGGUGUUCGGUUUGGCGCAUCUAACUUCAACUGCUGUGCUAGGAACUACAGAAGAAGGUCUAACUACAGAGUCCAAAUUAGCCGCAGUUCCAAUUGCAGCAGUUGAAAAGAGUAACUUUAAACAAAAUAUAUGCUUACCUCCUUAAUUAUUUUUUAAAUAAGAUUGGAGAUAAUCUCACCAUCAUAUAUAUAUAUAUAUAUAAUAAUGAUAAUAAUAAUAAUAAAAUUUUAAAAAUCAUUUCUCAACUGCAUGAAGUCAAACAAAUUAUUUUUAAUUGCAGUGCUUUCUACUACGUCAAACUAAAUAGGAUACAUGAAGUUGCAACUGCUGUAUUUUUAAUUUUAUGUAUCUCUAACUAUACUGUAUUCAUAAUUUCAUCAAACC